rnacentral:rRNA from 1 species
ACGAACGCUGGCGGCGUGCUUAACCCAUGCACGUCGAACGGAAAGGCCCUGCUUGCAGGGUACUCGAGUGGCGAACGGGUGAGUAACACGUGGGUGAUCUGCCCUGCACUUCGGGAUAAGCCUGGGAAACUGGGUCUAAUACCGGAUAGGAGCCAUUUUUAGUGUGAUGGUUGGAAAGUUUUUUCGGUGUAGGAUGAGCUCGCGGCCUAUCAGCUUGUUGGUGGGGUAAUGGCCUACCAAGGCGGCGACGGGUAGCCGGCCUGAGAGGGUGGACGGCCACAUUGGGACUGAGAUACGGCCCAGACUCCUACGGGAGGCAGCAGUGGGGAAUAUUGCACAAUGGGCGCAAGCCUGAUGCAGCGACGCCGCGUGGGGGAUGACGGCCUUCGGGUUGUAAACUCCUUUCGCUAGGGACGAAGCUUUUUGUGACGGUACCUAGAGAAGAAGCACCGGCUAACUACGUG